GAUGAACGCUGGCGGCGUGCCUAAUACAUGCAAGUCGAGCGAACAGACGAGGAGCUUGCUCCUCUGACGUUAGCGGCGGACGGGUGAGUAACACGCGGAUAACCUACCUAUAAGACUGGGAUAACUUCGGGAAACCGGAGCUAAUACCGGAUAAUAUAUUGAACCGCAUGGUUCAAUAGUGAAAGACGGUUUUGCUGUCACUUAUAGAUGGAUCCGCGCCGCAUUAGCUAGUUGGUAAGGUAACGGCUUACCAAGGCAACGAUGCGUAGCCGACCUGAGAGGGUGAUCGGCCACACUGGAACUGAGACACGGUCCAGACUCCUACGGGAGGCAGCAGUAGGGAAUCUUCCGCAAUGGGCGAAAGCCUGACGGAGCAACGCCGCGUGAGUGAUGAAGGUCUUUGGAUCGUAAAACUCUGUUAUUAGGGAAGAACAAAUGUGUAAGUAACUAUGCACGUCUUGACGGUACCUAAUCAGAAAGCCACGGCUAACUACGUG
rnacentral:rRNA from 1 species